rnacentral:antisense_RNA from 1 species
AGGUGCGGGGGGGCCAUGCUGGCCUCGGCCGCGUCCCGUCCCUCUAGCUGGGGGUCACUGCGAGCCGCCUCGCUCGGCGGCCGCUCGGUCAUCCUGUGGGCAGACAGACAGACAAGCGGAUGCCCGCUCUGACGACCGCCCCUGACCCACCGACGUGGGCUGGGGUAAAGGGGAGAAGGGCAGAGAGAGGAACUCACGCACCGAGACGUGAGAAGAGGCAGACAAAGUUAGCGCCACGUGGGGCUAGGGCGGGAGGCCGGGUGGGGCUAGGGUGGGAGGGAAAGAGGGUCUCUGGAUUGGGAGAAAGGAGGGGUGCCUGGGAGACACAGAGACUGAGGGCCAAAAGGACAGAGAUGGAGGAAGACGACAGAGACACCGGAAGAAAAGGAAUACAGCCAGCGACAGAAACACAGAAGGGGAAAUCAGGAGGAAGGAAAUGUACAAGGAGGUGUGCUGGGGCUCUUCCAUCACCUGGCUUCAUCCAGAUAGAGCUGGGCACCAGCAAGAACCAAAACAGAAAAAUCAGGAGACUCAAGGGCCAGAGUUUGUGAGUUGUGAGUUGUACAUAUAUGAUCAACACCACGUAAGUUGUUUAAAAUAAGCUUUCUGCUCUCUGAAUUAUAUAAUCGGGUAUUUAAAAGAAGAAAACAAAUACAAAAAAAAAUUUACCCCCAUGCAGAGUCCAUCUAAUCAUACAUAGCAGCCAUUGAGCUCCCAUACUGCCACUGCAAUGCUCUGGACAGGAGUCAUCCUAGGAACCAUCCCUCCCACCCCAGAAGGGAGAAUGGAUCAUCUGCAGCCUCCUCUGGAGCUUGGCUCAAUUGCCACUAGACAGAGUCAAGAUUCAGACUGCUGUACACCUUCUUUGGGAAUGCCAGCCCCCCAGGUCUGGCACAGAAACCACAAAAUUCCCUAAGUCCUGGUGUAUACAAGCUGUAAAGGCAGUAGGUCCCUGACACUUCAUUGGAAGUGAGUUUAUGAUUUUGGUGGAGACAAUCCAUAGAAUGCAACCACCAAGACACCAAGGCCACUGGAAAUGCACCAGAAGUAUAUCAGCCAGGUCCUCUUGCUCCCAGCAGCAGCAAAAUGUGCCAGAAAUAUACCAACCCCUGGGAAACAUACAAGCUUCAAGGUAUUGGUUCCCUACCUCACUGCUCUCCGUCCUGACACACCGGUGUGAGCCCAGUGACCCAUGCUUAAGCCCCAGCUUCUAACCGAGUGACAGUGUGCACUGCAGUUGCAGACUGAGCUCAAGCUCUGUUAUGACACAUUUUUACCCUCCAAUUAAUUCUUAGGCUCCUGCUCUAGCGGUGGAUUCCUGAGAGGCAAUGGGAGUACAUAUUCCAGAUGAAUUGACCCUGGCCACAAAUGUCCUCUCCAGACACCUAUAAAUAUCCCAUCUCCAAGGUUCCUUGUAAGAAAUAUAUGAUUGGAUCCCAGGAUCUGUGGAGGACCUCUCCCGGCUCCUCCCCACAUUUUAGGAAAAUCCUGCCGGUUUAGGAUUACCAGCCAGAGGUCCAUGCCCCAAAGAAGCCACUCACAAACACUGAUGGUUGUUGGCGACUAAGCUGCAUCACUUGAUUUGGAUUACAGAAAGGAACGCCCGAGAGAUUUUGUUUGUUUUUAUUUGGGGAGAAUGAAGGAGGAGGGAGAUUUUAGACUGAAUCGUUCUAGAGUAUUUGACGACUACAGCUCCUCUCUCUUUGUACUACGGAGACCCUGCUUAUAGCCCCCAACAGGAAAUCCUCAUCUGCAGUUGCCAGACAGCCAGAAUAUUUCCACCUGUGCCAGAACAAGACAGAAGACCCCAGGAGAUUCUUCCUGGGGACAGGUCUCAAGCAGACCCAAUCCCCCAUACAGAGAAUUUCUUAGAUGAAAACAGCCUCAGGCCCUUAGACCCAGCCUCCGGUCUCUCUUCUGGGCCCACACCAGCACAACACCCUGGAGAAGCCCCAAGCCUGCACAAGUACCAAACCCACCAGGGAACAGCACCACCAUCCUCGCCUCUACUGGAGAAGAGGGGUGUUCCUGCCUCCCCAUCCUAGGCCUCAGGCCUGGGAUCAGGGUCCACUCGAGCUGGGACUGCACUAGCCAGGAAGGCUGCCGCCUUCCUCCUGCGGGAGCUCCAGGCACAGUCUGCACCACCCGGAUACAGCCGCCCCAAAGUUACCGGCCUUGGGAAACGUCCACAGAACCGGGACCAAUGGGAACGGCCUGGACGACUAAGUCCAACUAGCUGGUUUUACCCAGGGUGGAAAAGGGAAAAAGCCGCUGAAUGCCACAGAGGCAGCUACAGCAGUCAGAUCCCGAUUCCAAGCUCUGGCUGGUCCUCCCCUCCCCCCACCCCCAAUCUGAGAAUGGGCUCUCCUCUGUCCUGAGCCUUCCUCACCCCAGGCCGGAACACAAGGCCUUCCUAGACACCGUUUCCACUGGCACCAUUCCCCUGAAAACUCACCUGGGGCAUAUUUAGAGAGACCGGCCCCUCUGAAUAGGAUCUCCACUCCGCCGGAAAGGGGCGGAAGCCGAGGAAGAGGAUGCAGACCCGGGUCUUUGCUUUCCCCCUUUUUCGCUGAGAGGCCUGCAGUUACGCUGCGGUGUGGUCCUGGGCGAUCUGCCGCGCCCAAAGCGAGUUUCCAGGAAAGAUAGGGGUGGAGAGAAAGAGGCAGGGCAAGAGGGAGGGAGAGAGAGAAAUGGGGGUCAAUGGCUGGGAAUUACCUCCUGUCCCCAACCAACCAGUCCAGGGAAUCGCAAACAGCUUUCCGCCCCCAACCUGCAGGUGUUUGGAGCCUUUCCUCUACCCCCUCCUCCCCCCACCCGCCUUAAAAAACCCUAUACAUGACCAAUCAGGAAUAGCUAUUUAGUCCAACAGCAACAACAACCCCUCCCGACAGGCUGUCUGGAACAUUUUCGAACCCUCCAACUGGGAUCGGUCUGGUUCAGUGUUUGUUUUCUAAGCAGGGAGGUGUCUACGCGGUUGCCUCCGCAGCCAGGUCUCCGGCUGCCGCUACACCGCGAAGGGAUAGUCCCGGGCCUGGAUGGGCAGAGGUCCGUGUUGGGAAAGGCGAAUAGUCUUCAGACUCUGGUCGGUGGGACAGAACCUUGAAGUCCCCCCCACCUCAUUCUCUCUCUGACCCCCAUCCACCCACCUCCAGCCCAAAGCGAAACCAGAACCCAAUUCCAGGGGCUGUACUUUCCUACAGAAAUGGAGUUGGGAAGGAGGCUUGGAGAGAGAUAUCUCAUCUGUUCAGGUCCUUUCUCGUCUCCCUACUGAUUAAGAGAAAGAAGAAAGAGAGAGGAAGAGAGAGACAGAAAAAGAAAAGGAAAUAAAGACCAACAAAGGGGGAAAGAAAGAAACAAAGGGGAAAAGUCCCCCACCUUCCCCUCCACCACCCCUACGAAAUGAUUUUCGAUUUUUCGGGGUUUAGACAGAGUAAGGGAAAAUUCUAAUGAUUUGUUACAGCAAUAAACAAGGUAAAAGGAAAGGAGGUAAAAACAAACCCGACACUACUUUCAAGGAUGUAGCAGGAUUGAGCUUGCUUUUAUUUUUUCCUAGUGGAUUUUGUUUAAUUUGUUUUGCCUAAAUCGUCAGGCUUAUGAUCACACAUCGAAGUCUUGGAUUAACUGCGAAGGCCUCCUUCUAUUUGCCGCGGCUUUGGUGGACAUAUAGGAAUAAUUCUUCCCUGGAUUGCAAUACAAUGCGGAAGAUUUUCUUUCUCCUCUUCUAAUCCAAAAGAGGGGAGGGGAGGAAAGAAGAGGGGAAUCCAUCCAUUCCCGGCGUGUUCGCGGGGGGUUAAUGUUGCGUGUUCGCUGGGGGUUAAUGUUUGCCUUAUGACCAAGUCUCUGUGUCCGUGCCUCUCUCCAUUUUCUCUUCCUGCCUCAAACCCAGCAACUUAGAAAACGGCUGUAGCGGAAAAAAACCCGCUGCUUUGUUCUCCCGCCAAAGGAGCCAAAAGGGACAAACUGCUGCGCUCUGGGAUGAUUAUUUUAAUUAAAAUAGAUGUUAAUGAUGA